UACAGAGGUCUCAAGCGUUGUUCGGAUUCAUUGGGCGUAAAGGGUGCGUAGGCGGCGCGGUAAGUCGGGUGUGAAAUCUUGGAGCUUAACUCCGAAACUGCAUUCGAUACUGCCGUGCUUGAGGACUGGAGAGGAGACUGGAAUUUACGGUGUAGCGGUGAAAUGCGUAGAUAUCGUAAGGAAGACCAGUGGCGAAGGCGGUUGCCUGGAGCUUUGCUGACGCUGAUGCGCGAAAGCGUGGGGAGCGAACAGG
rnacentral:rRNA from 1 species